rnacentral:rRNA from 1 species
GACGAACGCUGGCGGCGUGCUUAACACAUGCAAGUCGAGCGGUAAGGCCCUUUCGGGGUACGACGAGCGGCGAACGGGUGAGUAACACGUGGGUGACCUGCCCUCCAGCUCUGGGAGUAAGCCUGGGAAACGUGGGUCGUAAUACCGGAUAUGACCCCACUGACGCAUGUCGUGGGGUGGAAAGCCUUGUGCGGCUGAGGAUGGGCCCGGCGGCCUAUCAGCUUGUUGGUGGGGUGAUGGCCUACCAAGGCGACGACGGGUAGCCGGCCUGAGAGGGCGACCGGCCACACUGGGACUGAGACACGGCCCAGACUCCUACGGGAGGGCAGCAGUGGGGAAUCUUGCGCAAUGGGCGAAAGCCUGACGCAGCGACGCCGCGUGA